ACCGCUAACAUAAUCCAAAUUCUACCACGUAGCCUCCAUAAUGAUAUAACUCUGCUUCCAUAAAUAAAAUAAAAACUAUAACUUUUCGAUCCACCAAAGACAUGCAAUAUAUAUGCAAAGCCAUCUACCCCCACGUGAAAAAUUUUCCUUUCACCAAAAAAACCAAACCCGCUUUCUUCUUGGUUUGAAAAAGAACCAUCAAUUCGCUUGACAUGUGCUUCAUAAUACGAUCCUCU
rnacentral:lncRNA from 1 species